GACGAACGCUGGCGGCGUGCCUAAUACAUGCAAGUAGAACGCUGAAGGAGGAGCUUGCUUCUCCGGAUGAGUUGCGAACGGGUGAGUAACGCGUAGGUAACCUGCCUGGUAGCGGGGGAUAACUAUUGGAAACGAUAGCUAAUACCGCAUAACAGUAGAUAUUGCAUGAUAUCUGCUUGAAAGGUGCAAUUGCAUCACUACCAGAUGGACCUGCGUUGUAUUAGCUAGUUGGUGAGGUAACGGCUCACCAAGGCGACGAUACAUAGCCGACCUGAGAGGGUGAGCGGCCACACUGGGACUGAGACACGGCCCAGACUCCUACGGGAGGCAGCAGUAGGGAAUCUUCGGCAAUGGACGGAAGUCUGACCGAGCAACGCCGCGUGAGUGAAGAAGGUUUUCGGAUCGUAAAGCUCUGUUGUAAGAGAAGAACGAGUGUGAGAGUGGAAAGUUCACACUGUGACGGUAUCUUACCAGAAAGGGACGGCUAACUACGUC
rnacentral:rRNA from 1 species